UGUUUUGAAUGUACCUUGUGAGAGCUUUGUCAGGGCCCUGAGGGCACUGUUAGGCUUUAACAGCCCUAAGCAGCCUCACCUGGGGCCUCCAACCACACCCUCUGCCCAUGGGCUCAGCAGCAUAUUUAAACUCAGCCCAGGGGCUUCAGCUCUUCUUUGGGCUGGGGUCUAGAGCUGCUUUUCAGCCAGGCUGCUGCUGUGCUCUUGCUUCACUGUGGACCCUCUUGAUCCAAAGAGAAAAGGGAACAAAAACUGAAAAUCACUCAAGAGUGACAUAACUGGAAAUCAAAAAUCCAUCUCCUUUGUCACAGUGUGCUUGAGGAAUUACAUACCUCUGUAAUCUGAAAUGAUCAGCUACUCAGGCUAAGGCACACGUGGCAAUGGAUUUCUUCCUGCUUCUCCAAGAAUAUUGCUCAUCUGUAGUGGGCUAUUCCAUCCCCAUUAAAUUCUUAAUGCUGUUCUUCUCUUCAGAUGUUGAGACUUGACUAGACUAAAUCAACUAUGACACUCGACUGAAAUCAGAGCAUCCUGGUUUUGUAAUGCUGCUUAUUUAAGGCUUGCAAAAGGCUGCAUAAGUAAUGCAGAAGUAGAUUUGGAAUUCUGAGGCUGCAGAGACACCAGCACCUAGGACUGCUUGCACAAUUACUACUGACACAGGCCCAGUUGGAAAACAGCUCCCCAGUGGUUUUGCAAGAGGCUUUGUUAUAUGAAAAUAUGAAUACUUUGGGUAUGGAUAAUGUUUAGAGUUCCAGAUCAGCCCAGGGCUUUAUGAGAUUGGCUGGAACCAGGUGUGCUAUUACCUUGGAAGUGUGAAACACUGCCAUUUGCAAAGACAACUGAAACUGUCUAUUAAACUGUAUUCAAAAAGAAGGGGGAAAAGAGAGAUAUCAGGGGAAACGUGCUCUUCUGACUUUGAUUUAAAUCCUGUUCACAUCUUUAGCAAUUGCUUUGCGCUGGAUUCUGCUUUAGGAAAACAGAACCUGUAGAACAUGUGUCUCCCAUUUUAAAAUGAUUAAUCUAAAAGAUGAUGAUCCUAUUAAACAGCUUCUACUAA